rnacentral:rRNA from 1 species
AUUGAACGCUGGCGGCAGGCUUAACACAUGCAAGUCGAGCGGAGAUGAGGUGCUUGCACCUUAUCUUAGCGGCGGACGGGUGAGUAAUGAUUAGGAAUCUGCCUAUUAGUGGGGGACAACAUUCCGAAAGGAAUGCUAAUACCGCAUACGUCCUAAGGGAGAAAGCAGGGGACUUUCGGGCCUUGCGCUAAUAGAUGAGCUUUAGUCGGAUUAGCUAGUGGGUGGGGUAAAGGCCUACCAAGGCGACGAUCUGUAGCGGGUCUGAGAGGAUGAUCCGCCACACUGGGACUGAGACACGGCCCAGACUCCUACGGGAGGCAGCAGUGGGGAAUAUUGGACAAUGGGCGGAAGCCUGAUCCAGCCAUGCCGCGUGUGUGAAGAAGGCCUUUUGGUUGUAAAGCACUUUAAGCGAGGAGGAGGCUACUAGUACUAAUACUACUGGAUAGUGGACGUUACUCGCAGAAUAAGCACCGGCUAACUCUGUGCCAGCCGCCGCGGUAAGAC